AUGUCUCUUGCAUCCGUAAAUCAGCCACUUGUCGCUGGCAUGGAAAAGUUGCCAAAAGAAGUAACAUCUAUCGUGGAUGAGCUUCUGUUGGAGAGAUUACGACAGAUGCCAACUGAAGGAGUUAAGACAAUAUUUUUUUAUGAGGUCGUACGUCUAUGUAGAGAAGCUUUAAAAGAGCGAGUGCGUGUGUUUAGCCAGUUUCUUGAACCAUUGGACUUGAUCAUGGAACAACCGAGGAAACAGUUCAACUGGACUAAACGCAACGAGCUCCUGUAUAUGAGUGGAAAUGUCUCCGUUAAAACUCGCAAGUGCUUGAUGGUGGACUUCAAUGAUAUGGAGAGCGAGGUCAAGGUGAUGCUUGCAUCGACCAAGGUGUGUGGAGAAGGUAUCACCCUCUUUGGAGCGUAG
rnacentral:rRNA from 1 species